rnacentral:SRP_RNA from 1 species
GCUCGGUCUUGUAGCGGGGGCCUGUAACUCAAGUUAGAGUUUUAAGCUAGUUGGAGUUUGGCUUGGUCCAGAAGGUCGGGCUCUGCUGAGAUAUGCACAGGCUUGCCCAUUCCAAGUAUGGAGUUGUGCCUCAGCCACUGAGUGAAGGCUCCCUCUCUUGUCGGUGGAAAGAAAACAAGCUUGUUCUUGGCAAGUCCAAUUAACACCUGAUGGACCACUCAAACCAACAACCAUCUUU